UACGUAGGUCCCGAGCGUUGUCCGGAUUUAUUGGGCGUAAGGCGAGCGCAGGUGGUUUAUUAAGUCUGGUGUAAAAGGCAGUGGCUCAACCAUUGUAUGCAUUGGAAACUGGUAGACUUGAGUGCAGGAGAGGAGAGUGGAAUUCCAUGUGUAGCGGUGAAAUGCGUAGAUAUAUGGAGGAACACCGGUGGCGAAAGCGGCUCUCUGGCCUGUAACUGACACUGAGGCUCGAAAGUGUGGGGAGCAAACAGG
rnacentral:rRNA from 1 species